rnacentral:rRNA from 1 species
GGACAGCCUUCUGAAAGGAAGAUUAAUACAAGAUGGCAUCAUGAGUUCACAUGUUCACAUGAUUAAAGGUAUUCCGGUAGACGAUGGGGAUGCGUUCCAUUAGAUAGUAGGCGGGGUAACGGCCCACCUAGUCUUCGAUGGAUAGGGGUUCUGAGAGGAAGGUCCCCCACAUUGGAACUGAGACACGGUCCAAACUCCUACGGGAGGCAGCAGUGAGGAAUAUUGGUCAAUGGGCGCAGGCCUGAACCAGCCAAGUAGCGUGAAGGAUGACUGCCCUAUGGGUUGUAAACUUCUUUUAUAAAGGAAUAAAGUCGGGUAUGUAUACCCGUUUGCAUGUACUUUAUGAAUAAGGAUCGGCUAACUCCGUGCCAGCAGCCGCGGUAAUACGGAGGAUCCGAGCGUUAUCCGGAUUUAUUGGGUUUAAAGGGAGCGUAGAUGGAUGUUUAAGUCAGUUGUGAAAGUUUGCGGCUCAACCGUAAAAUUGCAGUUGAUACUGGAUAUCUUGAGUGCAGUUGAGGCAGGCGGAAUUCGUGGUGUAGCGGUGAAAUGCUUAGAUAUCACGAAGAACUCCGAUUGCGAAGGCAGCCUGCUAAGCUGCAACUGACAUUGAGGCUCGAAAGUGUGGGUAUCAAACAGGAUUAGAUACCCUGGUAGUCCACACGGUAAACGAAGAAUACUCGCUGUUUGCGAUAUACGGCAAGCGGCCAAG